rnacentral:rRNA from 1 species
UACGGGGGGAGCAAGCGUUGUUCGGAUUUACUGGGCGUAAAGGGCGCGUAGGCGGUCAGCACAAGUCAGUUGUGAAAUCUCCGGGCUUAACUCGGAAAGGUCAACUGAUACUGUGCGACUAGAGUGCGGAAGGGGGCAACUGGAAUUCUCGGUGUAGCGGUGAAAUGCGUAGAGAUCGGGAGGAACACCAGUGGCGAAGGCGGCCUUCUGGACCAGCACUGACACUCAAGCACGAAAGCGAGUGGG